GAAACGACUGCUAAUACCGGAUGUGCCGAAUGGUGAAAGAUUUAUUGCCUGAAGAUGAGCUCGCGUCUGAUUAGCUAGUUGGUGGGGUAAGAGCCUACCAAGGCGACGAUCAGUAGCUGGUCUGAGAGGAUGAUCAUCCACACUGGGACUGAGACACGGCCCAGACUCCUACCGGAGGCAGCAGUGGGGAAUUUUCCGCAAUGGGCGAAAGCCUGACGGAGCAAUACCGCGUGAGGGAGGAAGGCUCUUGGGUCGUAAACCUCUUUUCUCAGGGAAGAAAAAAAUGACGGUACCUGAGGAAUAAGCAUCGGCUAACUCCGUGCCAGCAGCCGCGGUAAUACGGAGGAUGCAAGCGUUAUCCGGAAUGAUUGGGCGUAAAGCGUCCGCAGGUGGCUGUGUAAGUCUGCUGUUAAAGAAUGAGGCU
rnacentral:rRNA from 1 species